UCAGCAGCCGCGGUAAUACGUAGGGUGCGAGCGUUAAUCGGAAUUACUGGGCGUAAAGCGUGCGCAGGCUGUUUUGUAAGUCAGAUGUGAAAUCCCUGGGCUCAACCUAGGAACUGCGUUUGAAACUACAAGGCUAGAGUGUAGGAGAGGGGGGUAGAAUUCCACGUGUAGCAGUGAAAUGCGUAGAGAUGUGGAGGAAUACCAAUGGCGAAGGCAGCCCCCUGGCCUAACACUGACGCUCAUGCACGAAAGCGUGGGGAGCAAACAGGAUUAGAUACCCUGGUAGUCCACGCCCUAAACGAUGUCUACUAGUUGUUGGUGGAGUAAAAUCCAUUAGUAACGCAGCUAACGCGUGAAGUAGACCGCCUGGGGAGUACGGUCGCAAGAUUAAAACUUAAAGGAAUUGGCGGGGGA
rnacentral:rRNA from 1 species